ACCAUAAACUCCCACUACUUUCGUGUAAAAUACAUCUAUUUAUAGUUCACCCGUAAACCGUUGCCGAUCACCGCCAGGACUCCCUCGCGCCGAUAGAAAAGAAAGAAAGAGGAACGCUGGGGUUUACCUUUUCUAGUAGGAAAAUUGAUUACUCAGAAACUAAAUGGGACUAAAGAGUUUUUAAACAAAACAGAGAUAUUGAAUCAGACACGAACUUGUAGUUAGUCCAGACUCAUUGGUAGUUGGUACUUCUAGAUAAUGCAAGUGAACUGGUUUCAAGACCCCUUCCCAUUCACAUGCAUUGCUUUUCCUCAUAGGGGGGAAAAACUCAUUUAGUGAUUCAGAACACCAGAAUGCUUACGAAAUUAAUGUAGAAGCCUUGUAAAACACAGCAAACCUGAGAUCUGCAGAACCAAACUGAGCUGCUGAUCCCAUAUUCACCAUGAAGCUCAGCUGCAUACUGGUUAAGAUCAGCAAGUAAACCAGAGCUAAAAGUAACUUACAGCUGCGAAUGCAGUUGAUUCGAGUUGGAUACAGAACUACUGACCUUGUACCCAGUUGUGGAGCAAUCUUCCUUUUCAAGGACAAUUCAGUCAGCUUUAGGAAAUAUUAAUAUCACCAACUCUCUAGUAAGAUCAGUAUAUGUACUUGCCAAGAAAUUGGCCUUCUCCUUGCGUAUUUAAUUGAGCUCUGUGGAAAGGCAUAGAGUGUGGAUUUUGAUGGUAUGGAGAUUUUGAGGACGAAGUGGACAGGUGUUGAGGAAUUUAAUGGACAAUGGAGAGAUACAAGUGAAUGCCAUCGCCAAAAUUUAUUGUCAUGCAGGAGAAGCAUAUGCAGAAAGAGGGGAAACGAAGCGUAACCUUGUCGUUCAUCACUCCAUCAUCAUUCACUUGUUUUUGCAUCGGCUAGGAUAGACGCAUGUUUAACACUGGCACUGAUUGACUUCUUGACGGGCCUUGCCCGCGACCAUUGGGCUCUGAUGCAAUGGCCCGGCUUUAGGGUUCUCAGCCUUUGGGCUCUAGUGACUCCUACAUGGUGGACCAUGAAGAUGUCGGUUGAAGCGUUAAUUUACGUGUGAUUUAAACCUGCAUCACCUGGACUGGACAAAAGUAGUUAAGCCCAAUCCCCAGGCAUGAUAUCGCUAAUGGAAAUGUAUCUUAAUUCAUUUUUUUAGUUAAUUUAUAUUGAAUGUAUUUGAUUAAUGAUAAUUAAUCUUUUUUAGACAAAUUUGAUAUACUUAUAUCUAAAAUUAUUUGAG